GAUGAACGCUGGCGGCGUGCCUAAUACAUGCAAGUCGAGCGAACAGACGAGGAGCUUGCUCCUCUGACGUUAGCGGCGGACGGGUGAGUAACACGUGGAUAACCUACCUAUAAGACUGGGAUAACUUCGGGAAACCGGAGCUAAUACCGGAUAAUAUAUUGAACCGCAUGGUUCAAUAGUGAAAGACGGUUUUGCUGUCACUUAUAGAUGGAUCCGCGCCGCAUUAGCUAGUUGGUAAGGUAACGGCUUACCAAGGCGACGAUGCGUAGCCGACCUGAGAGGGUGAUCGGCCACACUGGAACUGAGACACGGUCCAGACUCCUACGGGAGGCAGCAGUAGGGAAUCUUCCGCAAUGGGCGAAAGCCUGACGGAGCAACGCCGCGUGAGUGAUGAAGGUCUUCGGAUCGUAAAACUCUGUUAUUAGGGAAGAACAAAUGUGUAAGUAACUAUGCCCGUCUUGACGGUACCUAAUCAGAAAGCAACGGCUAACUACGUG
rnacentral:rRNA from 1 species